rnacentral:misc_RNA from 1 species
GAUGAAGAACGUAGCGAAAUGCGAUACGUAAUGUGAAUUGCAGAAUUCAGUGAAUCAUCGAAUCUUUGAACGCAUAUUGCGCUCUCUGGUAUUCCGGAGAGCAUGCUUGUUUGAGUAUCAGUAAACACCUCAACUUCCAUAUCUUUUUUGAAAUGGGAGUUGGACUUGAGUGAUCCCAACGCUUUUCCUCACCGAAAGGUGGCGGGUUACUUGAAAUGCAGGUGCAGCUGGACUUUUCUCUGAGCUAUAAGCAUAUCUAUUUAGUCUGCCUAAAAAACAGAUUAUUACCUUUGCUGCAGCUAACAUAAAGGAGAUUAGUUCUUGUGCUGACUGAUGCAGGAUUCACAAAGACAGGCUUCGGCCGACUUUGUAAACUCGAUCUCAAAUCAAGUAAGACUACCCGCUGAACUUAAGCAUAUCAAUAAGCGGAGGA